UACGUAGGGGGCAAGCGUUGUCCGGAUUUAUUGGGCGUAAAGAGCGUGUAGGCGGUCAGGUAGGUCGGUUGUGAAAACUGGAGGCUCAACCUUCAGAGGUCGACCGAAACCCCCUGGCUAGAGUCCGGGAGAGGAGAGUGGAAUUCCUGGUGUAGCGGUGAAAUGCGCAGAUAUCAAGAGGAACACCUGAGGUGAAGACGGGUUGCUGGGCUGACACUGACGCUGAGGCGCGAAAGCUAGGGUAGCAAACGGG
rnacentral:rRNA from 1 species